rnacentral:rRNA from 1 species
GUCCACGCCUAACGAUGAUCACUCGAUGUGUGCGAUACACUGUACGCGUCUGAGCGAAGCAUUAAGUGAUCCACCUGGGAGUACGACCGCAAGGUUGAACUCAAGGAAUUGACGGGCCCGCACAAGCGGAGGAGCAUGUGGUUAAUUCGAUGAUACGCGAGGAACCUUACCAGGGCUUGAAAGUUAGUGAAGGAUGUGGAAACAUGUCCGUCAGCAAUGACACGAAACUAGGUGCUGCAUGGCUGUCGU